GACGAACGCUGGCGGCGUGCUUAACACAUGCAAGUCGAACGGAAAGGCCCUGCUUUUGUGGGGUGCUCGAGUGGCGAACGGGUGAGUAACGCGUGAGUAACCUGCCCUUGACUUUGGGAUAACUUCAGGAAACUGGGGCUAAUACCGGAUAGGAGCUCCUGCUGCAUGGUGGGGGUUGGAAAGUUUCGGCGGUUGGGGAUGGACUCGCGGCUUAUCAGCUUGUUGGUGGGGUAGUGGCUUUCCAAGGCUUUGACGGGUAGCCGGCCUGAGAGGGUGACCGGCCACAUUGGGACUGAGAUACGGCCCAGACUCCUACGGGAGGCAGCAGUGGGGAAUAUUGCACAAUGGGCGGAAGCCUGAUGCAGCAACGCCGCGUGCGGGAUGACGGCCUUCGGGUUGUAAACCGCUUUCGCCUGUGACGAAGCGUGAGUGACGGUAAUGGGUAAAGAAGCACCGGCUAACUACGUG
rnacentral:rRNA from 1 species